rnacentral:tRNA from 1 species
GGCCUAUUGGCUCAGUUGGUUAGAGCGCCGCCCUGUCACGGCGGAGGUCGAGGGUUCGAGUCCCUCAUAGGUCG